AAAAAAAAAAAAAAGAAAAAAAAAAGGCAUGCACAUGUUGUUUCGGUAGUACUGCUUUUGUUGGUGUCUUGUUUUUGUUGCCUUGUUUUUCUUUUCUGUUUGAUGUCCACAGGAAAAUGAAAGGCCUGUGA
rnacentral:ribozyme from 1 species